AUUGCGAUUUAUUGCUUGCAAUUCAUUUGAGGUGUUUAAUAUUUGCAAAUGAUAUAAAUUUAUACUAAGCCACUCAUAUUUAGGAAUUAUUAUUUCCUGUGCAUUUGUGCUGCUCAGUGCAAAUUUUGCUAGUUCCAUAAUGGCCGCGGAUCUGAAAGUGAGAAACAUCUGUUAAUAUGUGAAGAAAAGAGCGCGCGAGAAAUCAACCGAAUAUAAAAUCUGUAUAACAACCAGAUCUAAGGAGAUUUUGUCUGCACAGCACCCGAUUCAACCUCGUUCGACAAAUCUGCCUGCGAACACCAAACGAGACUUCAACAAUAUUACACAACGGAACACUUUACGGCUUUGGAAAAGAUCCUGAAGCUCUGCCGGAAGAAUGGGAAGUGACCAAGCAGGGGCAUGUACUAUGAGCGACCAAACGAGGCAUUGCGGUUCAACUUUGGGAUCGAAUAGCAAGAGUUAUUGAUGAUCUUGAUUGUGAUGCAAUUGAAUAAUAUGCUGUAUUUAUGGUAGACAUGUGGAUAAAAUAAACAGAAUAACGGUUUUGUUGCUCAA